AGCGGGAGCUUCGUCCUGGGGAGAGCUCCGCCGCUCCGGGUAUUGCGGGUUUUGUGUGACAAUGGGUCUACCGGCUGGUGGGAUUCGUGUGUCGCCGGCCUCGCUGGGCCGAGUUCGUGACGUCAUAAAACAUGAAGGUAGCUGAAUCCAGGGCAGAACUAACAUUUGCUCAAGAUUGGGUCCCAAAAAGGUUAUCGAUCAUGACUGUAUUUUCUGUGACACUGAGUCCUUGGUCAGCCCUCAAUUACAACAUUGGCACCAGAGGAGAAAAUAUUCCAUUUUAUGGAAGAUGGGAUUUCUAAGAACAUGAUGUGGCGAGAAGCGAGACUGACUAUAAAAUCUAGAAACGUGUAUUUAUGGCUACAAAUUGAUAACAGGAAACAUCUUAGGAAGAAGGAGACUGGCAGAUUGUAGGAUGGAUCAUCAGCAGAGGCUUUCCAGAGAAAAUCGACCUCAAUCUGUUCUCUGAAGAGCAGGGAAUAGAGUGAAGAUGAGAAAACAUGCUGUCGGUGAUUACAGUCAUUGUUACAGAACAUCUGUCCGACAGAAAGUGUCUUAUUGCUUCGGUCAAGUCACUCUCUUCUGCCUACUCAGUUACUCACCCCAGGUAACAAAACACUUAGGGCAUAGAAAUGGGCAUGUAAAUGUGUUUGUUUUCCUUUGUAAUGUAAUAAAUCUGACUGCUUGUUGACCAUGACCCAGGCACCAUCCUGGGUCUCAGGGAUUAUAAAUAUGGUUGUAACUUGGUCUUUGUUUUCCUAAAGGCUCCCAAUCUGG